GACGAACGCUGGCGGCGUGCUUAAUACAUGCAAGUCGAACGGAAGUAGCAAUACUUUAGUGGCGCACGGGUGAGGAACACGUAGAUGAUCUGCCCUUGAGAUCGAGAUAACCCCGGGAAACUGGGGCUAAUACCGGAUAAUGCAUUAUUAUUGGAUUAAUAAUGUUAAAGCGGCGCAAGUCGCACUUGAGGAUGAGUCUGCGACCUAUCAGCUAGUUGGCGGUGUAAUGGACCACCAAGGCAAAGACGGGUAGCUGAUCUGAGAGGAUGAUCAGCCACACUGGGACUGAGACACGGCCCAGACUCCUACGGGAGGCAGCAGUAGGGAAUAUUGCGCAAUGGGCGGAAGCCUGACGCAGCGACGCCGCGUGAGGGAUGAAGGCCUUCGGGUCGGUAAAGCCCUGUUGAGGGAGAGAAAGCUACUGUCGGUUAAUACCCGGCAGUGGUGAUAGUAUCCCUAGAGAAAGCACCGGCUAACUACGUG
rnacentral:rRNA from 1 species